rnacentral:lncRNA from 1 species
UCACCGAUUAGUCGUCUCGAGGCUGAACUGAGAGCAAAACGUUUAUAUACUUUUUUUUUAAAAAAAAUGUAAAGUUUAGCAGUCCCACCUUUUUUUUUUUUUGGAAGUUUAGCAGUCCCACCUGUCUGAGCAGCGACUCACCGAGCACCACUCUACUGGGGUCCUCUGUAUUUGGUAGUCAAAGCUGCAUUUCGGGCAGCGGCAGGCUGUCGUGGAUGCAUCCAACACAACAGGGUAGAGCGAAAGGAGAAACAGGAGACGAGGACGGCUGCCCCAUCCCCAUCCGAGAUAAGCUGUGGCCUGUGCUGUGAAGAUAUCCUACCUGAAGCCUCCUGAUUACCUUCAUGAGCGGGUGUGGCCAAUUGGUCAUAAGUCAUAACCCAUAAGCUUCCAAACGGGCAAUCCUUCCAUUUGCGGAGCAAACGGCAGCCUA